rnacentral:lncRNA from 1 species
UCUGCUCUAACUGUUCUUUCAACCAUCUUCACUAGUUCUGCACCAUAAGAGGUUGAAGGAAGAACUAGAUUAGCAUCUCAAGUUUGCCAACAUAGUUAUCACAUAAAUAUGAAGUGAAUGUGUUUGUCGUGAUUUAGAAAUUGACGGCCAAGACAGAAAGAGACCUGGAAAUGAUGUUUGGUCAUCAAUAGGAAUAUGCAAGCACCAUAUAUCAAAGAUCCUUCAUUUAACGGAAAAGAAAAACAUAUUUUAGGCAUAAUUAUCUGUCAUAGUAUUAAAACAAUUAAGUCAUAUCUUCAAUAUAGUAGCAAUGUUAAUGGCAUAGCAAUGACAAACUGCACUACUCAGAGUUUUUUGGAAACGGAUAAAUGCACUCCAUUGUAGAACAUCAUUUAAUCUUGGGAAAAAUGAAGUGCACUUAUCAUUUCCUUUUUCUAUCUUCAUAUUCCAGGUCUAGACUUCAUGGAGUUAAUGUAUUUACUAUCAAAGUCUUUGGUAUUGCAAAGUAAAUCAGAGUCCGAUACCAUCAAUAGCUGCAAGGUUCAAAUUAGUAAAAAUUUUGUUUAGCAUUGAAUUUUAUGCUAAUGAACAAAAUAACCCUUCUCAUCAGAUCAUUCCCAUAUAUUACUAUGUACAAAAUCAAGAACAUUCUGUUAACAUCAUGAUGCAAUAGAUUUUAGGCUCAAUGCUAAUUUUCCAUCAGCCACACAGUUAAUAACCACUUCAUAUUUUCAACUACCAUUAGUAAACAUAGUGAAAUUUGAUCAAAAUUCACAAUUUGAAAAAUAGAUUGUUCAAGUUAACAUUUUGAAGAUCAGUAUGCAUAAUUUGCUUCAACUUGGGUAUAUUAGGUAUUAUAUUUUGAAAUUUUAUUCAUUAUUUUCACUCAUUUUAUCAAUAUUUUAUGUACCUUUAAUGCAUAGUACACAAACAUUCUAAUAAGGACAGGAAACUGUCGUACAUAAUUUAUAUUAAUGAAAAUUAAUCUCAAGGGGAGAAGACAAUUAUAUUAGUGCAAGUGCUCUCCAUUGCCAAUCAUAAGGAAUAAGUUUAUAUGACCCCACCCAUACACCAGUUUUAUUUUGAUUGAUUAUGAAGAUUUCUUUAUUGCUUCAGCACAAUGCAUUAAAAAUCCAUAAAGAUUAAUAAGUAAAAUGUGUUAGGUACUCAAUAAAAUGAAAUGAGACUCCUUAACGACUGCAAAUAGACUAAUGAGAAACUUAAAGGUUGUGCAGUAAAAAAAAGAGAAGAAAGUUACUACACUUACCAUUACAUCCUCUUGCUCGCAUUUUAACAAACAGCUAAUGUGCAUCCCAUGUCAGCUCCAUAUAUCCAACUUUCAAAAAAUUAAUGCUUCUUUUUGCAUGUUUUUGACAACCAACGUCAAUAUCAUUGUAAAGUCAUACAUGCCAAACAUAUUCAGAAACCAAAAAUCACACAAUCACAAACCACCAAAGGAAA